UCCUAUUUUAGCUACUUAUAUACAGAAAUUCUAAAUAUUAUACAAACGCUAUUUCGAGAGGUUUGUGACUGACUUAUAAAAUCACAUGAACAUAAUAUUUUAUCGAAAAAAAGUAUAUACUUACUGUGAGUAAAUAUAUACUUAGAACAUCGAUCAAUUCGAAUAAUAGGAUUUUUUUUAAUCUAUGGAAACCAGAUGAAUUUACACUAUACAGUACAUACCUAUCACAUAAAAAAAUUGUUUGCUACGCGGUCAGCCUUAAGUAUGUAUAUACCGUGACGUCACAAUUUACCUUCAACUUGGAGACGCAGCGACCUUUAACUUUCGUUGUGUUUUUUGAGGGUAGCUGAUACACGAGUCAGUGGGAUUCUGUAUUUAAACCUUUUAAAAAAUCAGGAAAUCUCUAUAUUACUAUAAUUCCUAUUGAAUUGUGUUCUGUAUAUUCUUAGUGGUGUCGAUCACUAACAUUUGGGGAAAACAUCAAUUCAAUACGUUUCCAUAUAUAUUAUAAUUCUUUGUUCAAUACGCUACGAGGGAAAAAAAGAGAGUCAACUGUCACUCAAGAACUGUCUUAACGUAGUGGUUAUAUUCUCUAUGGAACUGUCAAAUCCCCUUCGUUUAUCUUCUCCCAUUAACAAAAGUCUUCAUCAUAAAGACAUUCAACUUUAAUACCCAGAUUAAUACCUCAGUAAUCUGCAGUCUGAAACAACGUGACAUUGGCGGAAUAGCUUCAUAAUCAAGCUCGUCGCCAGUAAUCAAAGAAGAAGAAGAA